AUUGAACGCUGGCGGCACGCCUAACACAUGCAAGUCGAGCGGCAGCGAGACUAGUAGCAAUACUAGUUGUCGGCGAGCGGCGGACGGGUGAGUAACACGUAGGAAUCUGCCCUUAAGCGGGGGACAACCAAGGGAAACUUUGGCUAAUACCGCAUAAUCUCGAGAGAGCAAAGCUGCCCGCAAGGGUGGCACUUGAGGAGGAGCCUGCGUCCGAUUAGCUAGUUGGUGGGGUAAUGGCCUACCAAGGCGAUGAUCGGUAACUGGUCUGAGAGGACGACCAGUCACACUGGGACUGAGACACGGCCCAGACUCCUACGGGAGGCAGCAGUGGGGAAUAUUUGACAAUGGGGGCAACCCUGAUCCGGCGAUGCCGCGUGAGUGAAGAAGGCCUUCGGGUCGUAAAGCUCUUUAGGUUGGGAAGAAGGGUAUUGGCUGAAUAAUCCAGUACUUUGACGGUACCGACAGAAUAAGCACCGGCAAACUCUGUGCCAGCAGCCGCGGUAAGAC
rnacentral:rRNA from 1 species